AAAACCGUGAGAAACAAAGCCAAAAUGCCAAUAUUUGAACAAUCAUGAUAUGUGGAAUUAUGCUCUGUUGCGUUGUUGCCAUGAGUUUAUGCAUGACCGACAUUCUUUAGCUGCAGGAGAAUAUAGAUCCUGGGGCUAUUCUUUUGCUAAAACUAUCAUUUGUGCAAGUCAGGCAACCAUUUCUGUUCAUUCCUUUUUAUCUUUUUCUAUAAAUUCACGAUCCGCG
rnacentral:misc_RNA from 1 species